GUUUUUAAGGUGUAUAUAACAUAUAGUCCUUUCAAGACUAAGCUAGCUUUUUGCUUAAAAACU
rnacentral:tRNA from 1 species